CCCAGACUCCUACGGGAGGCAGCAGUGGGGGAUAUUGCACAAUGGGGGGAACCCUGAUGCAGCGACGCCGCGUGGGUGAAGGAGCGUUUCGGCGCGUAAAGCCCUAUCGGCAGGGAAGAGGGAGGACGGUACCUGACUAAGAAGCCCCGGCUAACUACGUGCCAGCAGCCGCGGUAAUACGUAGGGGGCAAGCGUUAUCCGGAUUUACUGGGUGUAAAGGGGGCGCAGACGGCAGCGCAAGCCAGGAGUGAAAGCCCGGGGCCCGACCCCGGGCCUGCUCUUGGAACUGCGCGGCUGGAGUGCAGGAGGGGCAGGCGGAAUUCCUGGUGUAGCGGUGAAAUGCGUAGAUAUCAGGAGGAACACCGGUGGCGAAGGCGGCCUGCUGGACUGCGACUGACGUUGAGGCCCGAAAGCGUGGGGAGCAAACAGGAUUAGAUACCCCCGUAC
rnacentral:rRNA from 1 species